rnacentral:rRNA from 1 species
GAUGAACGCUGGCGGCGUGCCUAAUACAUGCCAGUCGAGCGAACGGACGAGAAGCUUGCUUCUCUGAUGUUAGCGGCGGACGGGUGAGUAACACGUGGAUAACCUACCUAUAAGACUGGGAUAACUUCGGGAAACCGUAGCUAAUACCGGAUAAUACUUUGAACCGCAUGGUUCAAAAGUAAAAGACGGUCUUGCUGUCACUUAUAGAUGGAUCCGCGCUGCAUUAGCUAGUUGGUAAGGUAACGGCUUACCAAGGCAACGAUGCAUAGCCGACCUGAGAGGGUGAUCGGCCACACUGGAACUGAGACACGGUCCAGACUCCUACGGGAGGCAGCAGUAGGGAAUCUUCCGCAAUGGGCGAAAGCCUGACGGAGCAACGCCGCGUGAGUGAUGAAGGUCUUCGGAUCGUAAAACUCUGUUAUUAGGGAAGAACAUAUGUGUAAGUAACUGUGCACAUCUUGACGGUACCUAAUCAGAAAGCCACGGCUAACUACGUG